CAGUCGCCGCGGUAAUACGAAGGGUGCAAGCGUUAAUCGGAAUUACUGGGCGUAAAGCGUGCGUAGGCGGUUUGUUAAGUCUGCUGUGAAAUCCCCGGGCUCAACCUGGGAAUGGCAGUGGAUACUGGCAAGCUAGAGUGUGUCAGAGGAUGGUGGAAUUCCCGGUGUAGCGGUGAAAUGCGUAGAGAUCGGGAGGAACAUCAGUGGCGAAGGCGGCCAUCUGGGACAACACUGACGCUGAGGCACGAAAGCGUGGGGAGCAAACAGGAUUAGAUACCCCCGUAGUCCCUGUCUCUUUACA
rnacentral:rRNA from 1 species